rnacentral:rRNA from 1 species
UACGUCAGGUGACAAGGCGUUUGUCCGGAUUUACUGGGGCGUAAAGAGCGCGCAGGCGGUCGAUCAAGUCGAGUGUGAAAGCCCCCGGCUCAACUGGGGAGGGUCAUUCGAAACUGGUCGACUCGAAGGCAGGAGAGGGUAGUGGAAUUCCCGGUGUAGUGGUGAAAUGACGUAGAUAUCGGGAGGAACACCAGUGGCGAAGGCGACUACCUGGCCUGUUCUUGACGCUGAGGCGCGGAAAGCUAAGGGGAGCCAAAGCGGGGAUUAAGAAACCCCGGGUAG